rnacentral:lncRNA from 1 species
UUGGUACAUCAUAUAAGAAAGAAAAUUUUUCUCAUCAAUCAUGUGGGAGGUUGCUGUUUGGGGUCUGGCAGCCUUCUAAUCCCCAAAAAAAAAAAUAUUUGAAAGGAAGAUCUGAGAGGCUUCAGGGAGGGAUCGGGGAUGCUUGCUACGCUGAAUGCGAUAGCCUUCCACUGCCAUUAAGAAAUGGAAAGAUUAAGAAGGCUACUAAUGAAAAAGAGG